rnacentral:rRNA from 1 species
GGACUACAGGGGUAUCUAAUCCUGUUUGCUCCCCACGCUUUCGCGUCUCAGCGUUAGGAUCGGCCCAGAAGGCCGCCUUCGCCACCGGUAUUCCUCCAAAUAUCUACGAAUUUCACCUCUACACUUGGAAUUCCACCUUCCUCUACCGUCCUCUAGCCAGACAGUUUCAAAUGCACUUCCUCGGUUGAGCCCAGGGAUUUCACAUCUGACUUGUCUAACCGCCUACACGCGCUUUACGCCCAAUGAUUCCGAACAACGCUUGCACCCUACGUAUUACCGCGGCUGCUGGCAC